UCGAGCGAUGAAACCCUUCGGGGUGGAUUAGCGGCGGACGGGUGAGUAACACGUGGGUAACCUGCCUCAAAGAGGGGGAUAGCCUCCCGAAAGGGAGAUUAAUACCGCAUAACAUUAGUUCUUCGCAUGAAGAACUAAUUAAAGGAGUAAUCCGCUUUGAGAUGGACCCGCGGCGCAUUAGCUAGUUGGUGAGGUAACGGCUCACCAAGGCCACGAUGCGUAGCCGACCUGAGAGGGUGAUCGGCCACAUUGGAACUGAGACACGGUCCAGACUCCUACGGGAGGCAGCAGUGGGGAAUAUUGCACAAUGGGCGAAAGCCUGAUGCAGCAACGCCGCGUGAGUGAUGAAGGCCUUCGGGUUGUAAAGCUCUGUCUUUGGGGACGAUAAUGACGGUACCCAAGGAGGAAGCCACGGCUAACUACGUGCCAGCAGCCGCGGUAAUACGUAGGUGGCAAGCGUUGUCCGGAUUUACUGGGCGUAAAGGAUGCGUAGGCGGAUAUUUAAGUGAGAUGUGAAAUUCCCGGGCUUAACUUGGGAGCUGCAUUUCAAACUGGAUAUCUAGAGUGUGGGAGAGGAGAAUGGAAUUCCUAGUGUAGCGGUGAAAUGCGUAGAGAUUAGGAAGAACACCAGUGGCGAAGGCGAUUCUCUGGACCAUAACUGACGCUGAGGCAUGAAAGCGUGGGUAGCAAACAGGAUUAGAUACCCUGGUAGUCCACGCCGUAAACGAUGAGUACUAGGUGUAGGGGGGUCCAA
rnacentral:rRNA from 1 species